rnacentral:rRNA from 1 species
UGGGGAAUCUUGCGCAAUGCGCGAAAGCGUGACGCAGCAACGCCGCGUGCGGGAAGACGGCCUUCGGUUGUAACCGCUUCAGUUGGGACGAAGCCUUUGCGGUUAAUAGCCGUGGAAGGUGACGGUACCUUCAGAAGAAGCCCCGGCUAACUACGUGCCAGCAGCCGCGGUAAUACGUAGGGGGCGAAGCGUUGUCCGGAAUCAUUGGGCGUAAAGCGCGUGUAGGCGGCUCGGUAAGUCCGCUCUGAAAGCCCGGGGCUCAACCCCGGGAGGCGGGUGGAUACUGCUGAGCUCGAGUCCGGAAGAGGAGUGUGGAAUUCCUGGUGUAGCGGUGAAAUGCGCAGAUAUCAGGAGGAACACCAAUGGCGAAGGCAGCACUCUGGGACGGUACUGACGCUGAGACGCGAAAGCGUGGGGGAGCAAACAGGAUUAGAUACCCUGGUAGUCCACGCCGUAAACGAUGGGGCACUAGGUGUGGGGGGGUGUCGGACUCCCUCCGUGCCGAAGCUAACG